UACGGGGGGGAGCAAGCGUUGUUCGGAUUUACUGGGCGUAAAGGGCGAGUAGGUGGCCAUCUAAGUCAGACGUGAAAUCCCCCGGCUUAACCUGGGAACUGCGUCUGAUACUGGACGGCUUGAGUAUGGGAGAGGAACGUAGAAUUCCAGGUGUAGCGGUGAAAUGCGUAGAUAUCUGGAGGAAUACCGGUGGCGAAGGCGGCGUUUCUGGACCAUUACUGACACUGAAUCGCGAAAGCUAGGGGAGCAAACGGG
rnacentral:rRNA from 1 species